CCUACGGGGGAUGUGCGAUCUCCCCGCGAGGCGACAUGCCAAAGUAUCGCGUCCUGUUCUCAGAAAGGGCGCAGCAUG
rnacentral:ncRNA from 1 species